rnacentral:rRNA from 1 species
CCUACGGGAGGCAGCAGUGAGGAAUAUUGGUCAAUGGACGCAAGUCUGAACCAGCCAUGCCGCGUGCAGGAAGACGGCUCUAUGAGUUGUAAACUGCUUUUGUACGAGGGUAAACGCAGAUAGGUGUAUCGGUCUGAAAGUCUCGUACGAAUAAGGAUCGGCUAACUCCUUGCCAGCAGCCGCGGUAAUACGGAGGAUUCAAGCGUUAUCCGGUUUUAUUGGGUUUAAAGGGUGCGUAGGCGGUCGGAUAAGUUAGAGGUGAAAUCCCGAGGCUCAACUUCGGAAUUGCCUCUGAUACUGUCCGGCUAGAGAGUAGUAGCGGUAGGCGGAAUGUAUGGUGUAGCGGUGAAAUGCUUAGAGAUCAUACAGAACACCGAUUGCGAAGGCAGCUUACCAAGCUACUUCUGACGUUGAGGCACGAAAGCGUGGGGAGCAAACAGGAUUAGAUACCCCUGUAGUC